UUAGUUUGAUUCUAACUAAAAGAUUAGUAAUACUAUAGUCCUUAUGCUAAAUAUGUUAAUCUACUUAUAGUAAUAAUUACAAAUAUGAAUAAUUAUCACAUAGCAGUGGUUAAAAUUGUUAUAAUAAAAUAAACUAUGAAACAGUAUAAGUAUAAAUAUUGGCCUAAGUCGUGCCAGCAGCAGCGGUUAAACGACAGAUCUCUAACAUAGAAAAUCUUAUAAGAUAGGAUAAAAAUAAAUAAAGGUCAAAUUUCAAUCUAUGAAGAAUCUAACCUACCUAAAAUAAAUAUUCAACUAAAACAAGGAUUAGAUACCCUUUUAUUAUAUACUCAACAUAAGAUUGGAGACUACAAGCCACAGCUUAAAAACCCAAGAAUUUGGCGGUGUCUUAUUCAAUCAGGGGGGCCUGCCACAUAAAUCGACAACCCACGAAUAAUAGUUACCUUAUUUUGAUAUCAGCUUGUGUACUGCCGCCUAAUAAGCCCUUAAAGUAAUUUAUAAUAACUCUAAAUCAAGAUUACGUCAGGUCAAAGUGCAGCUAAUAAUAAGGAUAAGGUGGGUCACAACAUAUACAAUAAUUAAUUUAUUUAUAUAUAAAAUAUAAAUUAUAUUAGGACUUGAUAGUAAUAAAGCUGACAAAGCUCUAUGAAAAUGAACCUAAGACAAGCACAUAUCGCCCGUCACUCCCUAAUAUUGGAUAAGUCGUAACAUAGUAGGUGUAAUGGAAAUUGCAUCUGU
rnacentral:ncRNA from 1 species